rnacentral:lncRNA from 1 species
GGAGGGCAAAGGUCACGGUGGCCAUUGUUAUAUGGUGGUGGUGGGGAGAGGGGGAUGGCUUCUUCUUGAUCCUCUUGGGUAAGUCAAAGAUUGACCCUCCAGACCCCUGAUGGGUCUCUUUGGCCCCUUGAGCCUCCUGAGUCCCCAGCCAGGGCCCUGGGCACUUUGCUGGGAACUUGGCAUGAGGUCCAGCAGCCCCCAUUACUACCUAGUUCCUUACCAGCCCAGGGUGUCUGCCUGCUACUUCCCUGCCUGGAAGGAAGGCCUUCAGCUUGGUGCAUUCCUGAUGCAGCCUCCACUGCCUCUUAGACUCUCACACAAGCUCAGCUCCCUGUCGUGUCCUCUCAGGGCCAGGCUUCUCCUUAUCAUAAGCUUAGACUGUCUGAGUAACUAAUUGGAUUUGUGUCUGCCUCCUCACAGGACCCUAAGACCCCUGGGGCUGAGACUCUAUCUGUCCUGGUCACAGCCGCACCCCAUCCCCUUGCAUGGCGCUGUCACACCGAGGCCAGCCAUUGACUAGCGCUGGAGGGGAGCAAACAGGAGGCCGGCCACCUGACUGAUGGUCCCAAACCUUUUCCCUGCAGGCCGUCCCCUUUUCUGGAACUAUCCAAGGGGUCUCCAGGACGGACUUCAGAUCACUGUCAAUGGGACUGUUCUCAGCUCCAGUGGAAGCAGGUUUGCUGUGGACUUUCAGACCGGCUUCAGUGGAAACGACCUUGCCUUCCACUUCAACCCUCAGUUUGAAGAGGGAGGGUACGUGGUGUGCAACACAAGGCAGAAAGGAAGCUGGGCACCUGAGGAGAGGAAGAUGCACAUUCUGUCCCAGCAGGGGAUGCCCUUUGACCUCUGCUUCCUGGUGCAGAGCUCAAAUUUCAAGGUGAUGGUGAACGGGAGCCUCUUCGUGCAGUAUUUCCACCGCGUGCCCUUCCACCGUGUGGACACCAUCUCCGUCAGUGGCUCUGUGCAGCUGUCCUACAUCAGCUUCCAGAACCCCCGCACAGUCCCUGUUCAGCCUGCCUUCUCCAAGGUGCCUUUCUCCCAGCCUGUCUGUUUCCCACCCAGGCCCAGGGGCACAGACAAAACAUGAGUUCAGCACAGAGGCCCUGGGUGGCUGAGCAGACAGCAGGAAGGACCGAGGGUCUGAGAGGCUGGCCCCAACCAGCAGGCCACCAGGGCCUACAGGCACCAUCUUGCCCACUCAAGAGUUCCCUGUCUCUGUCCGCUGGGCACCCAGAGCUGGGGAUCUGGGGGUUGCCCUGAAUUCUUCACUCCCCCUUCUUUAUGUCUCUCCAAGGCACCAAGGGUCCUGAAGCCACCGACAUGGCCCAGGCCUCUGGGAUUCCUCACCAUGACAACAGGGGUCCUGUUCCCCAUCCCCCACACCCAACCACUGCCACAGUGACCUUCUUAUAAGCAAAUCUGAUCACACCCCCUCCCUGCUUAAAAAUCUUAAAAGCCCCAAGCCCUUCAGAUAAAGCCCAAAUUCCCCAGCAGGGCAUACAGAUUCCUCCCGAGUCUGGCCCCAGUCAACCUCCCUGCCUCACCCCCAACCCACGAAGCUCAUGCAGCCUCUGCAGCUCACACGAGGCCCUCGGGCCACCAUGCUUUUGCAUAUGCUGUCCCUGGUCCCGGAAGCACCCUCUGCCAGCCUGCCCCCAGCACACGCCUAAUUGCCCUUCCAUGCUCUGCCUAAGUGUCUCUCCUCUGGGAGUCCUCCCUGCCCGGAAUAUUGUUGGACGCUCUCCCCGCGUCCCCAUGGAGUCUGUACAUAUCUGUGCCAUGCCAGUUCACAGCACCCCAUUGUAAGUGUGUUUGCGUGUCUGUCCCUGUCACUCUACCCCAUCUCCCUAUGCCCAUGAGGCCCCAGAGGGCUAGGACUGUGGCUUAUUCAUUUGCACAGUGCCUGGCACUCAGUAGGGGCUCAGAGAAUGAAUGAAUGUGGAAUGUGGUUCUCACAACCAGGGAGAAUGGGAUACCAGCCAGGGCAAGAACAGUCUACUGGGUGGGGCAGGAUCCAGGACAAGGAGGCGAGCAGCACUUCCUGUGGCCACUCAAGCAGUGGGGACUGGGAGGAGGGGCGCUUUGUCUACACAGUCUUCCUAUGGCCCAACACGGUACAGACAGGGCACCUGCCUCCUGCCUCGCUGACUUCAGGACUGGUUGAGCCCCAGGGAACUUUUGCAGGUCAGCCCAACUUUGGCCCUAGCCCUGGCGCUGGUCCUGGCACUGGGGAGGAUAGAAAGUGUGCUGGAUACAGUCAGACAGAACUGGCAGCCGUUUUGGAUUUGGUCCCUUCCACCUGGGCGAGCUUGGGCAAGUUGCUUAAUCUUUCUGAGCCUCAUUGCCUCACCAGUGACACAGGAGCUGAGGCUGCUUCCCUCGUUGGAAAACACUGAAGCCCAGGAAUCGACCCACAGUAGGCCUUCAACAAAUACCCCUUCUCACCUUACGGGUGAAAUAUGGCACUGGAAGUAAUGCUCUUGGCUGUGGGAGCUACAGAAAGCAGUGAGGUCUCUAUCAAACCCAGUCUUCUCUCUCUUGAGAGGAACAAAUGGGGAUACCCUACCUCCCAACCCCAAAGCCCUGUGCACCUGGAGGUAAAAAUCUGGGUGCCACGGAUUCAGGAAGGCUUGCUUGGGAGCAAGAGGGAGGUGGGUGUUUCUGGGGAGGCAUUUCUUUUUCUUUUUUUUUUUUUUUUUUU